GUCUCUUGUUAACUCUAUUGGACGCCGGUCAAAUGCUCGGAAACUCCCAGAUAUAAUGUAUACUCGGCACAAGCUAAAUUCAUGCCUCAACUGAAAAGAAGACAUGGUAGAUAAGAUCAGCAACUAUUAGAUAUGAUAGGAGCUUUCCCUUUGUAGAAAACCAUGGCUUUUUUCACCCCAAUCACUCUGUUAUCCGAUGAGUAAACAUAGCUAGGUGAUCCAGUUGCCUUCCAAUAUCCGGAAGCUGUGGUACGAUUUGGUCUUCCUCCUCGAGCUUCCCUUUCUUGCCUUGGUGUAAAGAAGAACCACUGCUCAGUAUCUCCUUGGCACAACUCUCCUGAAUACUCUGCAAAAAAACAAGCCAGCCAAAGCAAAUGCAUAUAGAAAGAAACCAACUCCUCUUCAGUUGGGUAGAAGCGAAAACCCGGUGGCAGCUCCUGCAUUGGUGUCAUUUGGAGGUUUUAUUGUAUGUAUUAUUGUUUCUUUUUAAGAUUUUGGCUGCUGUCUACUUCUUGUUUGGUUUGGUUUGAUUUGGGUUAAAUUUAUAUAUAGAUAGAUAGAUUUGGAGUAAAAAAAUCAAUAAAUCUGAGAGAAGAAGGAUUUGCCGAGUGAAACGAUAGAAAUAGUGAAAGAAAAACUUAGACUUGGUACACUUUACGCGGUUAUGUUAGAAAUUAUGUGCUUUUGUAUAUUAGUUUUAUUUCGUACAAGCAAGAAAGCGACAUCUUUCCAAUUGAAACUCUUUUUGAAUCGGUCAGUGAAUCUAUCUUUUGCUGAU